UGCCCAUUUUUCUUUUUAUACCUACAUUAUCACAUUUUUACAGUGAACUAGCCAAACCUUACUCAUUUUACUUUCUGAUGAGAAACACUUUUCACAGCUCUGCUUGGUAAUAAAAUUAGAUGUUUCGUGCUUUCCAAUCAGGCAUGUCGUGAUUAGGGACUUGUUUCAUGCUUGCUGCAGCCCAGUUUCUCUGAGCAUCUUGGAUGCAUCGCAGGAAAAUUCCACGUUGUUCCCCAGGAUAAAGAAUGGCCAGCACCUGAAUUUCUGAGUGAUGUGAGAAGCAGGACCUGAUCCCACCUCUUCCUGCCACAAUGGGAAGCUCACCUCACUCCAGCUGAAUAAGAAAGUGACUGAGAGAAGCUACAUCUCCCAUCACCUCCUCUUUAUUGCUAGCUAAGGAUGGAACUGAAACCUAAUGAGGAAGCUUGUGCUGGCAACGUUUCUUACCCAAAUGUGUCGGCUCGUGCAUUUCUGGGCAUCUGUGCUCAAUAUGAAGCACCUGCUCGUGUAAGUUUCUGAAGGAUCUGGAAGAAAUUACGAGUGACAGUUGUGAGAGGGACGUACUCCAGAUUGGCAGGGUUGGUUUGUGCUUUGUUACCACAUUGCCUCUCCUAGUGAAAUGGAUGUGCUGGUGGUAUUCCCGGAUCUCUUGAGCUCUCAUGCUAACUCUGGACAGUGCAGGAGGCAGGAAUCUGAAGUGGCUGCCUGAUGCUUAAGAAGGUGAAUAAUGACUUGGAGAAGACCUUGUGCGUAUCUUUUGAUCUUUGGGCUUCAGACACCCCUUCACCCAUAAUUAACUCAUGUGUUGACUGAUCACCUGAGUGAUCAAGGGAGACUUAGCAUGUCAGUGGAAACCAGGGAACUAUUACUUCAUGGCAAAACAGCAAUCAAGCCAGCUCCUCUAUGAUACAAAUCAGAUACCUGCAAGAACAAGUCACGUAAUGGCAAGCUGUACUGGAGAUGGAUGAUAUCCUAAAUCAUUAUCUUCGAUAGCAUCAAUUAUGUUUACAGGAGUCAGCUUUGACCUGGCCGGGUGCCCACCUGCAUUAUUCCAGAUGUGACCAUAGAAAGUCCACAGGCAAAGUAACCCUAGGGAAGAAGGCCUUGCUGGCUUGAUGCCUAAAAACAAAAAUCAAGGCAGAGUUGAGAUCUGGCUCUCCACUGACCCUGCAGGACAGCCUGUCUGCAGUUCACUAAUCCUAGAAAGCAGACAGAUAUGCUCUGAAGAAAAAGUCUUCAUUUUUUCCUUCCCCUUUCCCUUGCUUUUUUUUUUUUUUUUCUCUGUCUCUUUUUCUCUCUCCCUCUUUCUCUUCUUUUCUUGUAUUUUUUUUUUUUUUAAAGGGAAAAUUUGUUGCAAUAAUACAAACCCAUCAUGCUCUCUCUGGUUACAGCUGAGUGACACUACAUCAGCAGCAGAAUAUGUACAAAUUAAACUGUAACAACGCACCAAGGAGAGGCACAGCAAUAUCAUAAAAAUUAUCCACAGUACAAUAUGACUAAUGUUGUGUGAAAUGCAUUCAUUGGCCAAAUGAUGUCUAGGUGUAUCUUAAGGAGUUAUGCUGAUGGAGAUAAUGGUUAUAGAACAGAGAUAAAGGGAGGAAAGGCAAGUGAAAGACAAGAGGUUGCAGCAAGGGCAGCCUGACUGGGGAGGAGGCUCAAGCAGGUGAGUUUGAACAGGAAAGCUGAGCUGCUCUGGAAUGUAGAAGGAUGUGAGAAGAGCUCAGUGGCACCUUUCCUCCUCACAUGUCUGAUGUGGAGGUGUGCUGCUGCUUUAGGCACACACACACACAUUCUUGUGCUCCUUCUCACUCCUUUUAUGUGGACUUUUUGCAAAAAUUUAUCUGGAAACAUAAGCUGCAUAUCUGCUAAAUAUUCUCUAGCUGUGUUGCUUAUAGAAAUGCCUUUGUUUUCCCUUUUUAGAUUAAAAGAAAAAAAAAAAUCCAAAGAGAAGGGACUGAUUUUAUUAGCAUGUCCAAAACCAAGAAAUGAACUCAAACACAGCCAGAGGAUGGCUAGAGUAAACAAAUCAAUAAGGUGCACUCAGAAGUUGUCAUCUCAUUUCUUAAUCUGAGAGUCUUUGUGAAAGGAGUAAAUGUUUUGCCUGAAUAAGAAACUUGGCUAUUGGUAAGUCAAUGUGAUCUUCCUUUUUGUUAAACAUA